CGGAACACAGGUGCUGCAUGGCUGUCGUCAGCUCGUGUCGUGAGAUGUUGGUAAUCCCGCAACGAGCGCAACCCUUAUCAUUAGUUGCUACGCAAGGGCACUCUAAUGAGACUGCCGGUGACAAACCGGAGGAAGGUGGGGAUGACGUCAAGUCCUCAUGGCCCUUAUGGGUAGGGCUUCACACGUCAUACAAUGGUCGGUACAGAGGGUUGCCAAGCCGCGAGGUGGAGCCAAUCCCAGAAAGCCGAUCGUAGUCCGGAUUGGAGUCUGCAACUCGACUCCAUGAAGUCGGAAUCGCUAGUAAUCGUGGAUCAGCAUGUCACGGUGAAUACGUUCCCGGGUCUU
rnacentral:rRNA from 1 species